UACGUAGGGUGCAAGCGUUGUCCGGAAUUAUUGGGCGUAAAGAGCUCGUAGGCGGUUUGUCGCGUCUGCUGUGAAAACCCGAGGCUCAACCUCGGGCCUGCAGUGGGUACGGGCAGACUAGAGUGCGGUAGGGGAGAAUGGAAUUCCUGGUGUAGCGGUGAAAUGCGCAGAUAUCGGGAGGAACACCAGUGGCGAAGGCGGCAUCCUGGCCAUGUCCUGACGCUCAGGGGCGAAAGCGUGGGGAGCAAACCGG
rnacentral:rRNA from 1 species